AGAUGACCCAAUGUUGCCUAAGUUAGAACAUGCACCACUGCUGCCCAGGCUCCAAUAAGGGCAGGGUUGGCGCGUGUGGGCUUCUCUAAAGGGAAACAUGGCCAGUAAUUUUAAAAUCCAUCCCCUCUUCAAUGAUAGCAAAUAUAAAAGCAACGGGCUGCAAAGUACACGUAUGUUUAAUGAAAAAUGGAGGGACGUGGUUACAAAAACCUGAGACUUCCAUUUUGCUGGAACCUUCUUUUCCUCUUGCACACUCACUCUGCGACUCUGUGUGGAGAGCUCCAUGUGACAAGGAACCAAGGGAGGUCUCCAGCCUAAGCAACUGAGACCUCAGCCCAACAGCCCUCAAAGAACUGGAUCUUCAAACAACCACAUGAGUGACCUGGAAGCAAAUCUGUCACCAGUGCUCUUGAGAUGGCUACAAGUCUUCUUCCACCACAUGGCUAUGCUGGAGUCUGUGAAUCUGCUGUGAUUCUGGGGGCUUCCUGAUCUGCGAAUUGUUCAUUGCUUAAUUAAACUCCUUUAAAUUUAA